CCAAAGACCGGCACAGGCUUCCCUGGAAGCAAAGGUAGUUCACCUCAGAAGCCCUCAAGGAUCCUACGGAGGCAAAAGACCCUGAUCUGAAAAAAAUGUCAACAACAACAAAAGACAGGAAGGGAGUAGGAAUAUCUGCAGAAAUGAAAAAAAAAUUCAUCAUCUGAAGGAGGACAUGUAAUCAAGGCCUGAAGUCUCUGUAAGUCGGUGAGGCCAGCAGUUGGGAAGGAAAGCUGGCUGUGAAGUGGAGGAGAGAAAGAACUGGAACCUGCGAGAACAAAUCGACUUCUGUUCACUGUCUCCAAGCUCACUGACUCGGGUGAGUUGCAGGAGAAGCAAGGGACCUUUGCCACAGAGGUGAACGUACAUCUAGCCUAGGACUGUCAGAGCAGCUGAAGGAGGAGAUUCAGCAGGCGUUGGGGAGCUGCAGGCCUGGGUGCUGUCCUGCACCACCAAGGUGAGCCAGCAGAUCAGUGUCAAAAGGUAUACACUGCCAUCAUGCCCGGUAUCCUUCACAGUGUACUGGCUGCUACUUCACUUCCGUUUUCCAAAUAUUGCACAAAAUUUUCUUGAGGUCAACCCCAAUUGGAACCAUACAGGAAGGGAAUCCUGGGAAACUCGGUUCCAGCUCAGCUAAGUGGACACAGUACAAAGCCACCACAAGCACGCAUGCCUAGUAUGGUAAAUCUCUGUCUGUACCUCUGGCAGGUAAGAGCCAGACUAUGAGCUGUCUCCUGGGACCCAGCACAGCAGCUCUCAACAGAUGUUCAUUGACUCAACAGAACUGUCUCCCCACCUCCCACUCAAACAAAUGUUCAGGGUACGUUCUGGGACUUUGGGAAAUAGCCCAGUGUUUUCCUGAGGAGUGCCAUUUACAUAAAAGUCAA